rnacentral:rRNA from 1 species
CCUACGGGCGGUAGCAGUGGGGAAUAUUGCACAAUGGGGGAAACCCUGAUGCAGCGACGUCGCGUGAGUGAAGAAGUAUCUCGGUAUGUAAAGCCCUAUCAGCAGGGAAGAAAAUGACGGUACCUGAUUAAGAAGCCCCGGCUAACUACGUGCCAGCAGCCGCGGUAAUACGUAGGGGGCAAGCGUUAUCCGGAUUUACUGGGUGUAAAGGGAGCGUAGACGGCAGCACAAGUCUGGAGUGAAAUGCCGGGGCUUAACCCCGGAACUGCUUUGGAAACUGGGCAGCUAGAGUGCAGGAGAGGUAAGUGGAAUGCGUGGUGUAGCGGUGAAAUGCGUAGAUAUUAGGAAGAACACCAGUGGCGAAGGCAGCUUACUGGACUGUAACUGACGUUGAGGCUCGAAAGCGUGGGGAGCGAACAGGAUUAGAUACCCCUGUAGUC